CCGUAGCCCAAGAGAUCGGGAUAACACCUGGAAACAGAUGCUAAUACCGGAUAACAAUAGAUGAUGCCUAUCAACUGUUUAAAAGAUGGUUCUGCUAUCACUCUUGGAUGGACCUGCGGUGCAUUAGCUAGUUGGUAGGGUAACGGCCUACCAACGGACGGAUGAUGCAUAGCGAGUGAGAGACUGAUCGGCCACAUUGGGACUGAGACACGGCCCAAACUCCUACGGGAGGCAGCAGUC
rnacentral:rRNA from 1 species